AGAAAAUAUAGGAGAAGCGAGCAAAAUGAGGUCUAAAAUUCUUGAUUUUUAUUAUUUGGGAUCUCAGAGACACUAAACCUUUAAUGAACUAGGCCUAAUUCAACUAUUUUUCCUCGUUAUGGCUUUCAGUUGCUCAAAAACAAAACUCACAAAAAGUGAUUGGUUAAAAAAAAUGUUGUGAAGAUUUCUUUUGUCACCGUAUGCUGUAAAGUGAUGCGCUGCAAUACAAUUGCUGAGAUCCUCUUGUUUUUCUCCCUCGUUUUUGUUUAUUGUUAAAGAUAUUGUAGCUUAUAAUAAUGAGUAUGAUUUGUGACACUGGAUUCACAGGAAAUGAAAUUCGGCUGGCAAAUU
rnacentral:misc_RNA from 1 species